rnacentral:sRNA from 1 species
AUGGUGGUGGAGUACGCCCAAGCUGUGGACAGCAAAUAACCCUGUACAAAGGGGAAUGGAGAUUGCCUCUAUCCACCUAGAUUCAUAAGAUGCCCUGAGGUGAUCUUGGCAUCACGGAAGGUAUGCACAUCACACCAUCAGCUUCAGAGAAUGGCAGCCAUUUAUUUGUCCCGUGGGUUUUUUUCCAGGGAACCAAUCUGCCCUUUUGAAGAAAAGACAGAGGUAGAAAGGAUGGUGGAGGACUACCUGGCAAACGGUUAUCAGGAUUCAGUGACAUUUGAUGAUGUGGCUGUGGACUUCACCCCAGAGGAGUGGGCUUUACUGGACACAACUGAGAAAUACCUCUACAGAGAUGUGAUGCUGGAGAACUACAUGAACCUGGCCUCUGUGGGUAAGAGUAACAUCACUUUGCUUGGCAUGGUGGCCUGCACCUGUAGUCCCAGAUACUUGGGAGGCUGA